AUUGAACGCUGGCGGCAUGCUUUACACAUGCAAGUCGAACGGUAACAGGCCGCAAGGUGCUGACGAGUGGCGAACGGGUGAGUAAUGCAUCGGAACGUGCCCAGUCGUGGGGGAUAACGCAGCGAAAGCUGCGCUAAUACCGCAUACGAUCUAUGGAUGAAAGCGGGGGACCGUAAGGCCUCGCGCGAUUGGAGCGGCCGAUGUCAGAUUAGGUAGUUGGUGGGGUAAAGGCUCACCAAGCCAACGAUCUGUAGCUGGUCUGAGAGGACGACCAGCCACACUGGGACUGAGACACGGCCCAGACUCCUACGGGAGGCAGCAGUGGGGAAUUUUGGACAAUGGGCGCAAGCCUGAUCCAGCAAUGCCGCGUGCAGGAAGAAGGCCUUCGGGUUGUAAACUGCUUUUGUACGGAACGAAACGGUCCUGGUUAAUACCUGGGGCUAAUGACGGUACCGUAAGAAUAAGCACCGGCUAACUACGUGCCAGCAGCCGCCGUAACAC
rnacentral:rRNA from 1 species